UACGUAGGUGGCGAGCAUUAUCCGGAAUUAUUGGGCGUAAAGAGCGCGCAGGUGGUUGAUUAAGUCUGAUGUGAAAGCCCACGGCUUAACCGUGGAGGGUCAUUGGAAACUGGUCGACUUGAGUGCAGAAGAGGGAAGUGGAAUUCCAUGUGUAGCGGUGAAAUGCGUAGAGAUAUGGAGGAACACCAGUGGCGAAGGCGGCUUCCUGGUCUGUAACUGACACUGAGGCGCGAAAGCGUGGGGAGCAAACAGGAUUAGAUA
rnacentral:rRNA from 1 species